GUGGUAUCAACACAGAGUCGCCACAAUGGAAAUACUCGUUAUAAAGACUUAACUAUUUGUUUACCCAAAACGAAGAGACAAAAUGAUGGUGGGCGAUCUUUUGCUGCUACUGCAAGUCUAUUUUGGAACAGUCUACCUCUUACUAUGCGUAAACUUUCAUCAGCUACACUUUUAAAAAGAAACUUUAUGAUAAAGCUAAUUCAGAUAUGCUCAUAGAAUAAUUUAUUAUUUAGUUUUUUAGUAUUUUUAGUCUUGUGUAAUUCUGGUUUUUAAAUUGUAAUUAAUCUCGUAGUUUGUUAGUUUGAGGGCCACAAGUUUUUCACACAUGUUGUGUCACGUGUUACCCUCUUUUAAUAAAGUUUAAUCAAUCAAUCAAUCAAAAAA